GACGAACGCUGGCGGCGUGCCUAAUACAUGCAAGUAGAACGCUGAAGGAGGAGCUUGCUUCUCCGGAUGAGUUGCGAACGGGUGAGUAACGCGUAGGUAACCUGCCUGGUAGCGGGGGAUAACUAUUGGAAACGAUAGCUAAUACCGCAUAACAGUAGAUAUCGCAUGAUAUCUGCUUGAAAGGUGCAAUUGCAUCACUACCAGAUGGACCUGCGUUGUAUUAGCUAGUUGGUGGGGUAACGGCUCACCAAGGCGACGAUACAUAGCCGACCUGAGAGGGUGAUCGGCCACACUGGGACUGAGACACGGCCCAGACUCCUACGGGAGGCAGCAGUAGGGAAUCUUCGGCAAUGGACGGAAGUCUGACCGAGCAACGCCGCGUGAGUGAAGAAGGUUUUCGGAUCGUAAAGCUCUGUUGUAAGAGAAGAACGAGUGUGAGAGUGGAAAGUUCACACUGUGACGGUACCUUACCAGAAAGGGACGGCUAACUACGUGCCAGCAGCCGCGGUAAUACGUAGGUCCCGAGCGUUGUCCGGAUUUAUUGGGCGUAAAGCGAGCGCAGGCGGUUAGAUAAGUCUGAAGUUAAAGGCUGUGGCUUAACCAUAGUACGCUUUGGAAACUGUUUAACUUGAGUGCAAGAGGGGAGAGUGGAAUUCCAUGUGUAGCGGUGAAAUGCGUAGAUAUAUGGAGGAACACCGGUGGCGAAAGCGGCUCUCUGGCUUGUAACUGACGCUGAGGCUCGAAAGCGUGGGGAGCAAACAGG
rnacentral:rRNA from 1 species